UACAGAGGGGGCAAGCGUUGUUCGGAAUUACUGGCGUAAAGCGCACGUAGGCGGCUUUGUAAGUUAGAGGUGAAAGCCCGGAGCUCAACUCCGGAACUGCCUUUAAGACUGCAUCGCUUGAAUCCAGGAGAGGUGAGUGGAAUUCCGAGUGUAGAGGUGAAAUUCGUAGAUAUUCGGAAGAACACCAGUGGCGAAGGCGGGCUCACUGGACUGGGUAUUGACGCUGAGGUGCGAAAGCGU
rnacentral:rRNA from 1 species